rnacentral:rRNA from 1 species
AUUGAACGCUCGCGGGAUGCUUUACACAUGCAAGUCGAACGGCAGCGCGGACUUCGGUCUGGCGGCGAGUGGCGAACGGGUGAGUAAUGUAUCGGAACGUUCCCAGUAGCGGGGGAUAACUACGCGAAAGCGUAGCUAAUACCGCAUACGCCCUACGGUGGAAAGCAGUGGAUCGUAAGACCUUUCACUAUUGGAGCGUCCGAUAUCGGAUUAGCUAGUUGGUGAGGUAACGGCUCACCAAGGCGACGAUCCGUAGCUGGUUUGAGAGGACGACCAGCCACACUGGGAAUGAGACACGGACCAGAAUCCUACGGGAGGCAGCAGUGGGGAAUUUUGGACAAUGGGGGCAACCCUGAUACAGCAAUCACGCGUGUGCGAUGAAGGCCUUCGGGUUGUAAAGCACUUUUGGCAGGAAAGAAACGAAGCGGGCUAAUACCCAGUGGAACUGACGGUACCUGAAGAAUAAGCACCGGCUAACUACGUG